UUGGAUUUAGGGUUUAGUGGUAUC
rnacentral:snRNA from 1 species